rnacentral:rRNA from 1 species
UACGUAGGGUGCAAGCGUUAUCCGGAAUUAUUGGGCGUAAAGAGCUCGUAGGCGGUUUGUCGCGUCUGCUGUGAAAACCCGAGGCUCAACCUCGGGCCUGCAGUGGGUACGGGCAGACUAGAGUGCGGUAGGGGAGAUUGGAAUUCCUGGUGUAGCGGUGGAAUGCGCAGAUAUCAGGAGGAACACCGAUGGCGAAGGCAGAUCUCUGGGCCACUACUGACGCUGAGAAGCGAAAGCGUGGGGAGCGAACAGG